GCUGCAUUUACCAAGCCAAGGCUCCCACCUCUCCUUCCGCAGUCAUGGAAAAGAGCCCUGGCCAUGCCUAUAGUGGACACAUGGGCUUCUAGCCCAUCCCAGGCACUGCUGGCUGGGCACAGGAGCAGAACUGCAGGCCUCACCUGUACGGCCUCCACCCUUCCAGAGGUCACCUGCACUGCAGGACUGCCCAGAAGUGCUAGGUACUAAUACUUCAGGAGUGACUCUCACCCAUGAAGGACGAGAGCUUCCUCGCCUGUCAGGGGACACCCUGAGGUGUGCUCCCUGCUGUCACUGAAGGGCCCCAAUUGCCCACGGCGCUAACCUGCUCAUUAACACUGGGCUGACUGGAGCCCCACCCUCCCUGAUGUGUUUUCUGGGAUGACCUCCUAAAUAGGCCAUUUACACCUAAAUCUGUGCCUCGGGUCAGUGUCUAGGGGAGCCACAUGCAGGCACCAAGUCCCCACACUCUCCCGGUCACGGCUUCCUUGCUGCUCAAUGAACACCCCAGUGCCUGGCCUCUGAGGGACUCGGAUUCGGAAAAGCUGGAGAGCUGGGUUCCCCUGCUGAACUAGUGAUGACAUGUCCAUCUCCUUGACCUCUGACGCUCCACGCCUGCUCCUCUGGUUACGAACCCAAAUCCCAAAGGCCCUAGGGUCUCAUAACAACACAUGUGAGUGUGUGGGCCAGCCCUAUGGGUCAUGGCAACUCCCUGAGUUUUCCCAAGCCACAUUCAUGCUGGGUCCCAGGGCGAGGACUGUGCCUGGUGGACAAUGGACGCAUGACAAAUAUCUGCUAAAAGCUGCUCUUUGAGAGACUCAUAUCUGUCAGGCCCAAACGUCUUGGGAACUGAUGUAAACAGUGGGGCCGCAGGGCAGCGAGGAGAAUGUGACACGUCUCCAUCUUCUGGUGGCCACAGCCCUGUCAUGUGUCUGGGCAGCUCAGCCAAGAAGCAUGAAGCCAUAAUACUGGUCAGUCUAUACCGCAGUCAAGCACCAAACCCAGAGUCCCAGAUGGGCCACAGGGAGCCAGAGGAGAUCAUGAAAGGCCAGAAAAACAAAGCUCAAGCUUCCUGGAGGCUGUGUGGCCAGGACAGAGAGAUCAGAGUAUGAACCACUUGGCCCAGCCUACCAGCUCCGACUGACCAUGUGAAAACAAGGCAACCCAGCAGGACAAACACACAGCAGAACAGGCCAUGCUGCUGCUCACAUAGCCCAGGAGACCUGGGAGGACAGCAUGGUUGACUUCUUUCCCAAGGCCCGCCAGCCAAGCCUUCAAGAGCCCCAGACGCAUCCCUCCCCUGCUGCCGUGGCCCCAGGGCUGCCAGCAUGGAGCAGAGCCUGGCACCUCCCCUUUGCUCCCCACCUCCUGCUGUGACGCAACCAAGUCCCCAGGGCCAGCUCUCUGCAGCGCCUCCUCCAUCCUCCCCACCCCAGCCCUGACCCCAGCCAACCAGUCUCUCAGCCGCCCUGGUCCCCAGAGCUGAGGGGGGUACCUCUCUCCCCAUUUGCCAGCCACAUGGGAAAGGAAAUCCCCAUGGGCCAGUCUUCAAACUCAAAAUUAUUGCAUCCUCAAACAUUUCUCUUGACAAAAGUACAGAGUUGACGUCUCCUUUCAUCCUUUUAUCCUAUAAAAUCUUAACAGUACUGUAUAUAUUUAAAGCCCCUAAAUAAAAAGGUAUGGCUAUGAGAGUGGACUCCAAGUCCUGGCUUCAAGUCCUAGUUCUGUUACUUACCGAGACUUCUGUUUUCUCAUCUGUAAAACAGGCAGAAUAUCUGCCC
rnacentral:lncRNA from 10 species